UUUCAGGAACACGGGCAGCUUGACCUCCCUCUAAGUAGGGUUUGUGUCUCCGAGGCCCUUUGGGUCUCUUGGCCUUGUGCUUUCUUCACAGCCAGCUGAGAGUGACCGCCCUGUAAUCAGGGAUUGGGUCUUUGCCCUUCAGUCUCUUGGCACGAGGACAGUGUAGCCAGCUGGUCUGAAAGACCACCCUUAAAACGAGGUACAGGUCUCAUCAGACACCAUUUAUGGUACCCCCAUGACACUGUGUCCAGAGUCCUGGCCCUUCACACUGCGCUUCCAACUUGCCUGGAAUGCUGCAGCCAACCUCCUGCUCUCUUCCUCACUUACUGGGCUCUCGGAGACCCGACAUCCAGCUGCUCUUGCUGCUUCAAGCACAAGCGGACAAAAAGGAAGUUUCAGGAUUGUCAAGCAAAGACGUGGAAAGACAACAAGUCACAGAAGAUGGAGGAGAAGGAAAGGGAUUCUGUGCACAGUAGCCUCCCUCUAAUCAGGCCUCAGUUCAUGUCAUGAUACUGUAUGGGGAUCUCAAGCUUUCAAUCCCUUGAGCAGCGUAACCGCCCUGUAAGCAGAGUCCGGGUCUGUGCCAUUUUGUCCUUUUGACAUUAUGCUCCGUUAGCUGGCUAGUGAGGGUGACUGCCCUGUAAUCAGGGUGCAAGUCACCUCCCCCUGUCUCUUGAGGGCCAUUGAGCUCUUUGUUAAAUUGAGCAAUGAGACCGUCCCGUAACUGGGGUCCUAGUCUCUGCCCACUUGCUCACUUGGCAUUAGGCCCUGCUCUGGUCCACUAGUCAGCGUGACAACCCUGUAAGUAGGGUGCAUGUCACAAGCCUCCAUAGAAUGGGACAUACUGAGCUCUUGUGUACUUUGAGCAGCUUGACCUUCCUGUAAUUCAGGUUAUGAUCUCUGCUCUGUGGCUAAUGCCAGUGACCAGCCUCUAAUCAAGGUACAGGUUGCAUCUCUCUUUUCCAAGCUGGGGGAUGAGAAACAACUCAGUAACAUGGGCAGCUUGACCUCCCUCUAAGUAGGGUUUGCGUCUCCCAGGCCCUUUGGGUCUCUUGGCCUUGUGCUGUCUUCACACCCUGCUGACAGAGACAGCCCUGUACUCAGGUAUCGGCUGUUUUCCCCUUGUCUUUUGAGGGCCGUUGAGUCCUUUGUUAAAUAGAACAAUGUGACCGCCCUGUAACUAGAGUCCGGGUCUCUGCCCACUUCCUCACUUGGCAUUAGGCCUUGCUCUGGCCCACUAGUCAGUGUGACAACCCUGUAACUAGGGUGCAUGUCAAAAGUCUCUAUAGAAUGGGACAUACUGAGUUCUUGUGUACUUUGAGCAGCUUGAUCUUUCUGUAAUUCAGGUUAUGGUCUCUGCUCUGUGGCUAAUGCCUGUGACCACCCUGUAAUCAGGGUACAGGUUACAUCUCUCUUUUCCAGUCUGGGGGAUUAGAAACAUCUCAGGAACACGGGCAGCUUGACCUCCCUCUAAGUAGGGUUUGUGUCUCCGAGGCCCUUUGGGUCUCUUGGCCUUGUGCUCUCUUCACAGCCUGCUGAGAGUGACCGCCCUGUAAUCAGGGAUUGGGUCUUUGCCCUUCAGUCUCUUGGCACGAGGACAAGUGUAGCCAGUUGGUCUGAAAGCGCAGCCUUUAAACGGGGUUCAGGUCUCAUCAGACACCAUUUAUGGUACCCCCAUGACACUGUGUCCAGAGUCCUGGCCCUUCACACUGCGCUUCCAACUUGCCUGGAAUGCUGCAGCCAAGUCUCCUGCUCUCUUCCUCACUGGGCUCUCGGAGACCCGACAUUCAGCUGCUCUUGCUGGCAGCUUCAAGCACAAGCGGACAAGAAGGAAGUUUCAGGAUUGUCAAGCAAAGACGUGGAAAGAUGACAAGUCACAGAAGAUGGAGGAGAAGGAAAGGGACUCUGGGCACAGUAGCCUCCCUCUAAUCAGGCCUCAGCUCAUGUCA